rnacentral:rRNA from 1 species
AGGUUACCCGCGACAGGACGGAAAGACCCCGUGGAGCUUUACUGCAGCCUGAUAUUGAAUGUUGGUACAGCUUGUACAGGAUAGGUAGGAGCCUUGGAAACCGGAGCGCCAGCUUCGGUGGAGGCAUCGGUGGGAUACUACCCUGGCUGUAUUGACCUUCUAACCCGCCGCCCUUAUCGGGCGGGGAGACAGUGUCAGGUGGGCAGUUUGACUGGGGCGGUCGCCUCCUAAAAGGUAACGGAGGCGCCCAAAGGUUCCCUCAGAAUGGUUGGAAAUCAUUCGCAGAGUGUAAAGGCACAAGGGAGCUUGACUGCGAGACCUACAAGUCGAGCAGGGACGAAAGUCGGGCUUAGUGAUCCGGUGGUUCCACAUGGAAGGGCCAUCGCUCAACGGAUAAAAGCUACCCCGGGGAUAACAGGCUUAUCUCCCCCAAGAGUCCACAUCGACGGGGAGGUUUGGCACCUCGAUGUCGG